rnacentral:tmRNA from 1 species
GGGGGCGUCACGGCUUCGACGUGUCUGGAGAGUCUCGAGUCGCGUGCCGAGGUGCCCGGGAGGCCUCGUAAAACACCUGGGAAACUUUUAGUUGCCAACUCUGAACUGGCGCUGGCUGCCUAACUUCGGUUAGCUGCAGUCCGUCUCUUGAGCGGCCCGCCCGAGGCGGUUCCUGAGACGUCGACAAUUCGGGCUGCUGCGUGCGUUCCGCCUUCCGGCGCACGCUGAAGACACAGGGGGGCUAGCCCGGGAGAGGGUGGUUCGCUGACCCUCCCCGGCGCGAACUGAACAGCGAGCUACGCACGUAGUGGCUCUGGAGGAUCCUUUCGCGGACGCGGGUUCGACUCCCGCCGCCUCCACUG